rnacentral:rRNA from 1 species
CCUACGGGGGGCAGCAGUGAGGAAUAUUGGUCAAUGGGCGCGAGCCUGAACCAGCCAAGUAGCGUGAAGGAUGACUGCCCUACGGGUUGUAAACUUCUUUUAUAAAGGAAUAAAGUGAGGCACGUGUGCCUUUUUGUAUGUAUUUUAUGAAUAAGGAUCGGCUAACUCCGUGCCAGCAGCCGCGGUAAUACGGAGGAUCCGAGCGUUAUCCGGAUUUAUUGGGGUUAAAGGGAGCGUAGAUGGGUUUUUAAGUCAGUUGUGAAAGUUUGCGGGUCAACCGUAAAAUUGCAAUUGAUACUGGCAGCCGUGAGUACAGUUGAGGUAAGCGGAAUUCGUGGUGUAGCGGGGAAAUGCGUAGAUAUCACGAAGAACUCCUAUUGCGAAGGCAGCCUACUAAACUGCCACUGACAUUGAUGCUCGAAAGGGUGGGUAUCAAACAGGAUUAGAUACCCGAGUAGUC